CCUGGGAACAGACCACACCAAAUAUCUGCCAGCAUGGACCACUGGAAAGUUCUGUAAGGUUUGUGGAAAGAAGGAAAGGUUGCUCAGCUCUGAGUUGUCCAUCUGAAGGAACUCAAACUGAAUAUUGUAGAAUUCCUGGCUGAAGUAUGAGUGUCUGGAUGGGAAAAGAUGAUGAUGUUGUGCACACACCAUAACAGAGAGGACCAUUUGAGUUGCUGUUUCUGGAGAUUGCCUGACUCAGGUUGAUGGCCAAGAGGAAAUACCAUGAGGGUCUGUAAACGAAGCUAACAGAUGGAACUGACCAGUAACGUGCAUCUGGCAAGCCGGGUUUCUUAUAAACUUUCCUCCA